rnacentral:rRNA from 1 species
UACGGGGGGAGCAAGCGUUGUUCGGAUUUACUGGGCGUAAAGGGCGCGUAGGCGGUCGUGACAAGUCACUUGUGAAAUCUCCGGGCUUAACUCGGAACGGUCAAGUGAAAUUGUCGUGCUAGAGUACAGAAGGGGCAACUGGAAUUCUCGGUGUAGCGGUGAAAUGCGUAGAUAUCGAGAGGAACACCUGCGGCGAAGGCGGGUUGCUGGGCUGAUACUGACGCUGAGGCGCGAAAGCUAGGGGAGCGAACGGG